UCCAGACUCCUACGGGAGGCAGCAGUGGGGGAUAUUGCACAAUGGGGGAAACCCUGAUGCAGCGACGCCGCGUGGGCGAAGAAGUAUUUCGGUAUGUAAAGCCCUAUCAGCAGGGAAGAAGAAAUGACGGUACCUGAGUAAGAAGCACCGGCUAAAUACGUGCCAGCAGCCGCGGUAAUACGUAUGGUGCAAGCGUUAUCCGGAUUUACUGGGUGUAAAGGGAGCGCAGGCGGCACGGCAAGCCUGAUGUGAAAGCCCGGGGCCCAACCCCGGGACUGCCCUUGGAACUGCAUGGCUGGAGUGCGGGAGGGGCAGGCGGAAUUCCUGGUGUAGCGGUGAAAUGCGUAGAUAUCAGGAGGAACACCGGCGGCGAAGGCGGCCUGCUGGACCGUGACUGACGUUGAGGCUCGAAAGCGUGGGGAGCAAACAGGAUUAGAUACCCCGGUA
rnacentral:rRNA from 1 species